GGGUUCCGCCGCGGGGCUGCGAGCGCGCGCGGGCCAGUUCGGGCCGGGGGCGGGAACCGGCUCGGAUGCUCAGGGACGGUGGGGGUGGCAGGGCCCACCGGCUUGAGGCUGCCUUUCCCGGCGUUCCCUCGUUUAUUGGCUCACUCUUCCUUUCAUCCAUCCAUCCUUUGCGCAACAAUAUUUGAUGGGAAGCCUGCCAAGGAAUUAAAUUUUGUUCAGACAUCCACUCUUCACCUUCCCAGCCCCUGUUUGCCUGUAACUACAAAGCAGAGGCAGGGAGAAAGACACAUGGGCAGGAGAAUACCACAUGGAGACACAGACACACGAGGGGAGGAUGCCUGCUGACCAUGGAGGCAGAAGUGGGACUGACGCAUCGAUCAGCUGAGGGAUGCCAAGCACUGCCAGCAAACACCAGAGGCUUGAUGGGGGCGAGUAUUCUCCUGUGCAGGUAUCAGAGGGAGCCUGGCCUUGCAGAUACCUUGAUUCCUGACUUCUGGCCUCUAAAAUGUCCAAUGUGAGUCAGGCAUCUCUCCUGGUGGCUGUCUUCCAUGUGGUGACUUAUGUAUCCAGGAUCCUUCUACUGUGUUUCUCCUCCAUUGCGAAGUCCUUCACUUCCAGCACCUGAGACAUUUUUUGGGUAUAUCUACAAGUGGCAUAUAUCACUUCUGCCCACAUUCACCUGGGUAGAACUCAAUCACAUUGUUUCACCUAACUGCAAGUGAGGCUGUGGAAUAUAGUCUCCCUAUGUGCCCAAGCAGAAGAAACAGGAUUGGUGAGCAUCUAGCCCAUCUCUACCACUAACAGUUUAUCCCCCCUAAUAAAUCAAUACACUGAUGAUCUA
rnacentral:lncRNA from 1 species